rnacentral:rRNA from 1 species
AUCAUUACACAAUAAAAUACGAAGGCCGUUCGCGGCUGGACUAUUUAUUACCCUUGUCUUUUGCGCACUUGUUGUUUCCUGGGCGGGUUCGCUCGCCACCAGGACCACAAUAUAAACCUUUUUUAUGCAGUUGCAAUCAGCGUCAGUAUAACAAAUGUAAAUCAUUUACAACUUUCAACAACGGAUCUCUUGGUUCUGGCAUCGAUGAAGAACGCAGCGAAAUGCGAUACGUAGUGUGAAUUGCAGAAUUCAGUGAAUCAUCGAAUCUUUGAACGCACAUUGCGCCCUUUGGUAUUCCAAAGGGCAUGCCUGUUCGAGCGUCAUUUGUACCCUCAAGCUUUGCUUGGUGUUGGGCGUUUUUGUCCCCCCCAAAAAGGGGACUCGCCUUAAAAGGAUUGGCAGCCGGCCUACUGGUUUCGCAGCGCAGCACAUUUUUGCGCUUGCAAUCAGCAAAAGAGGACGGCAAUCCAUCAAGACUCCUUCUCACGUUUGACCUCGGAUCAGGUAGGGAUACCCGCUGAACUU